GGAUAAAUGGAACUUUCUUGAUGAAUCACAGGAAGAAAAAAUCCAGUCACUCUUAAUGGAAAGAAGAUCAAAAUCUCAAGAGGCCCCCUGCACGGGUUUCCGACUGGGAUUCUGAAGUUCCAGGAGCAUAAUCAGAAUUCUGCCCUUUGAUCUUGGGAUACAGGUUUGUAUGCGUUCUGCUCACACACGAGGGACGGCUAAAAUGACAACCCAAACUGGGAAAUGGUCUGUAGCCUUGAACAACUUCUGGGGACAAAGUUCCCUAGGUUGGUCACGUGUAAAGUUCAUCUGGAAUGCUGCGCAAAGUGUUAGGGCUGCUCGCUGUUUUGUGUAGCAGUGAGAGGAAGCAAAACAGAGAGAGACCGGCAGGGGGGCCGGAGGGAGGGCGACCAACUGCCCCAGUCUGCCCCAGACGUCCCUGAUUUUAGCGCUGCAAAUCCUGAAUCUUGGAAAACUCUUCAGUCCCAGGCAAACCCGGACCAUUGCUCAACCUUCAGAGGGGUAGAAAGAAAACUGCAGACAUUGCCUAAGCACAGGCAUACUUAGUCAUUCAACAACCUGAGUCACAAAGAACCCAGACUCAGGAAACCCUGCUCUGCGUGUCCCUGCUUUAAAACUGCACUGAGCCACCGUCUGCAGGAGAUUCUCCACCCUGAUCGUCACAUGGAGAGCCUGGGUUCUUCUUGGAUACCAAAUAAACUCUAUAGUAACAGCAUUCCUCUGACAGCCACUGACAGAGACCCCAGUCCCCCACCUCUUCACCCUACAUUCGGAGGUAAAUAAAGGAAGGCCAUGGUAAACCA